rnacentral:lncRNA from 7 species
AGGUACGGGCCAUCAAUCAACUUCCCAAACUAAGCGACGCUCGCGGCCCAUGCACGUGGCCACGUCCCACGGCAAGCCUUUCCUUUUGUUUUAUUUGCUUGAUUCUACUUUUUUUUUUCCUUUUUACUAUUUUUUGUUUUCGGUGAUAUUAUAUUCUCAUUUUCAUUUUACUUAUAUGUUCAAAUUUUAUUUUUAUUACUUUCUAUUUAAUUUUAGUUAGCUAUUUCCUUUAUUUAUUUUAAAUUCCAUUUUAUUCUAUCUUUUAAUUUUUAUUUGCCUUUUCUUUCCCAUUCCUAAAGAUUUUCUUAUAUUGAUUUAUUUUUUAGUUUUAUUUAUUAUUAUUUUCAUUACAUUCUAAAUUAUUAUUUUCAUUUUUAUCCUUUUUUAUGUUCUAUAUUUUUAUUUACAGUAUUCUGCGAGAUGAAAAUGAUAUUCACUUAGUAUAUAUUUAUGACGCAACGAUAUUUUUAAAAAAAUUUCACUAUAUCAAUGAGUUCAUUCUAAGAUUUUCCAUGCCGUAUCCCACAAAAGUUUAAACAUGAUGCUUCAUUAUAUAUAUAAUGUACUAUUCACAGAGUAUCUAUAAGAUAUCUUGUGAUGCAUUCUAUGUUGUUUCGUUCGGUGUCUUUUACUUUGCUUUAUUACCAUUUGUUGUUAUUUAUUUUUUUUACCUUUUCUUCUUUAUUUACUCUAGUUAAUUAUUUGAAUUGUUUAUACUGCGUGCGAUCCUGAUCAGGGUAUACGAAUACGAUGCCCCCGGCCUUUUGAGGCUUCAGGCUCGUGACCACGGAAACAUCUAGAUUCAUCGUUCAUGCACGGUCACGAGUCCCUGAUCUGCCUGCUAACUCCUAGUUAACCAGAUGCUCAGCUAAUAAAGAACGCAAUUUGGUUUUUACUAGUUCACCUGCCGUGUUUCGUACCGAACACCUGCUGAAGUAAAAAGACACUCGCAAUC